rnacentral:rRNA from 1 species
AGAGCUUGAUCCAGGCUCAGAACAAACGCUGGCGGCAGGCCUAACACAUACAAGUCGAGCGAGGCCUUAGGGCAUAGGGGAGCAAGGGUGAGGAACCCGUGGGAACAUGCCUUUGGGUGGGGAAUAACUUCGGGAAACCAUAGGAUAUACGGCAUAAACCCCUGGGCGGAAAGAUUUAUCGCCGAAGGAUCGGCCCGCGUCCGAUUAGCUAGUUGGUAAGGUAAAGGCUCACCAAGGCUCCGAUCGGUAGCUGGUCUGAGAGGAUGACCAGCCACACAGAGAGAUGAGACACGGCCCAGACUCCUACGGGAGGCAGCAGUGGGGAAUUUUGGACAAUGGGCGCAAGCCUGAACCUACCGUCCGCGUGCGUGAAGAAGGCCUUCGGGUUGUAGCUUCUAGGUCAGAAAGAAAAGCUCCGAGCUAUUAUAGUGGGCUCAUGACGGUACCGAAGAAUAGCCG